CCAUCCAUGCGCCUAGUUGAUCAUAUUGUUCACUCUGGGAACCCGAUGUUGAUCCUUCGCUGAUGUCUGCACCAGAACCUGUAAUGCCUGAUACACGAGAUGCAGAUUUCUCCGUAGCUUCCUGUGGUGAUUCUUUGACAAGAGAUUGGACCCAAGAUAGAUCAGGUUCUUCUCCAUUGUUGGCAAGCUCAAAUGAUGAUGAUCUCCUUAGCCUACCAAACUCCUCAUUACGGACAGCCCAGUCUGGCUCUCCCGAGGCUAUACCCCAGUUCGGCCAAGUAUCUGACGGAGAGCCAGCAAUGGCAGAGGCAGCACUUGAGCCAAGAUCACGAGAGCUGAGACUCCUGAAUUGAUGUUGCUUGUCGCAUGGUGUCCGAGGAAGGACCAAACCACAAGGGUUUAUUGUACACAGUCUUACCAAGCAUUUCUGCAAGAGGCUGUUUUGGUGUAUGGAUCGAAAAAAUCAACACAUUUAUCGAUAUUCAGAUGAAAUAAUAAUCAUGUUAAUACAUAAUUGUCACAAAAAAUGACUUCUUUCAGUACACUGAUCACCAAAGAAACAUAGGGUAAAAUUUUCAUAUGAGUAAGAGUCUACAUACAGUAAUGUUGGAGAAAAACUCGGCGCAAACCGGUUUUUCUCUCAUACCUGGCUUUAAAUAAAAUUAGAGAAAUAAUUUCCUUCAAAACUUGGACCUUCCGCACUUUUGCCUUGUUCCCAAGCCAACAUGAAGUGAAUACCAAGAAUCAAAAAUCCAACGUCUAGGAUCGGGUAAAAUGAAAAAUAAGGAUGUUUUUUACCGAGCUAUUAGCUGAUCAAGCUUCAUUUGCUCCAUCCAUGCGCCUAGUUGAUCAUAUUGUUCACUCUGGGAACCCGAUGUUGAUCCUUCGCUGAUGUCUGCACCAGAACCUGUAAUGCCUGAUACACGAGAUGCAGAUUUCUCCGUAGCUUCCUGUGGUGAUUCUUUGACAAGAGAUUGGACCCAAGAUAGAUCAGGUUCUUCUCCAUUGUUGGCAAGCUCAAAUGAUGAUGAUCUCCUUAGCCUACCAAACUCCUCAUUACGGACAGCCCAGUCUGGCUCUCCCGAGGCUAUACCCCAGUUCGGCCAAGUAUCUGACGGAGAGCCAGCAAUGGCAGAGGCAGCAC
rnacentral:lncRNA from 1 species